rnacentral:ribozyme from 1 species
UGCCGAGCAACUCCUAUCCCUACCUCCUCGUAGUACUGGCCGGGGUACGAGUAACCUUAGGGAAGAUCGGGUAACCAACCACUGUGGGAACUUUGGUCGUAGGCUGACAGGGAAGG